rnacentral:rRNA from 1 species
UGGGGAAUAUUGGACAAUGGGCGCAAGCCUGAUCCAGCCAUGCCGCGUGAGUGACGAAGGCCUUAGGGUUGUAAAGCUCUUUUGGCGGGGACGAUAAUGACGGUACCCGCAGAAUAAGCCCCGGCUAACUUCGUGCCAGCAGCCGCGGUAAUACGAAGGGGGCUAGCGUUGUUCGGAAUUACUGGGCGUAAAGCGCACGUAGGCGGACUUAUAAGUCAGGGGUGAAAUCCCGGGGCUCAACCUCGGAACUGCCUUUGAUACUGUAAGUCUCGAGUCCGGAAGAGGUGAGUGGAAUUCCUAGUGUAGAGGUGAAAUUCGUAGAUAUUAGGAAGAACACCAGUGGCGAAGGCGGCUCACUGGUCCGGUACUGACGCUGAGGUGCGAAAGCGUGGGGAGCAAACA